rnacentral:rRNA from 1 species
CUACGGGUGGCUGCAGUGGGGAAUAUUGGACAAUGGGGGCAACCCUGAUCCAGCCAUGCCGCGUGUGUGAAGAAGGCCCUCGGGUUGUAAAGCACUUUCAGUGAGGAAGAACGCCUGGUGGUUAAUACCCAUCAGGAAAGACAUCACUCACAGAAGAAGCACCGGCUAACUCCGUGCCAGCAGCCGCGAUAAUACGGAGGGUGCGAGCGUUAAUCGGAAUUACUGGGCGUAAAGCGCGCGUAGGUGGCUUGAUAAGCCGGUUGUGAAAGCCCCGGGCUCAACCUGGGAACGGCAUCCGGAACUGUCAAGCUAGAGUGCAGGAGAGGAAGGUAGAAUUCCCGGUGUAGCGGUGAAAUGCGUAGAGAUCGGGAGGAAUACCAGUGGCGAAGGCGGCCUUCUGGACUGACACUGACACUGAGGUGCGAAAGCGUGGGUAGCAAACAGGAUUAGAUACCCCAGUAGUC